AGAAUCAUUGUUCGUUUUAUCACUGCUGUGACUCCAGCUCCCAGCGUGCUUAAUUUUGGGAUGGAUGGCUAAAGGACUUUCCCCCGGAGCCUGGAGCCGUCAUACGCUGAGGGGUCUCGCUUUGUCGCCUAGACGAAUGCAGUGGCGCGAUCACAGUUCAAGUAACCUCACAUUCCUGUGCUCAAGUGAUCCUCCUGCCUCAGCCUUUGGAGUACUUGGGACUACAGGCGCGCACAACCGCGCCCGGCUAAUUUUUAAAAUUUUUUUGUAGAGCCAGGGGUCCCACUUUGUUGCCCAGGCUAGUCCCCAACUCCUGGCCUCAAGCAAUCCUCCCGCUUCAGCCUCUCAAAAUGCUGGGAUUACGCGCGUGAGCCACCAGCCUGGCUUACUUCCGUCAUCAUACCCUGUCUCUGGCUGGCAUGAGAUGGAUAGUGAGAUAGAACUUCCCAUUUUGUGUUCCCAGGACCUGGAGGAAAUCUACAGGUGUGAAACAAGACAACUCUGGUCCUUAUUUCCCUAUGGGAUGGGUGGGGCUCUAUUUAGGUGUUACCAGCAGAGUAGACAGACAUGUCACUCAGUGGCCAGGGCUUUGAUGGAUCCAGAGGGCUGAGGGAGCUGUCCACCCCAGGCUGGAGGGUCAAGGAAGCCUUCUUUCUGGGAGGGUACCCUCAAGCUAAGACCUGAAGAACGAGUAGGAGCUGGGUUAAGAGGAAGGUAGGGAAGAGUCUUGAGGAGGAUGGCACGUACGGACGGUUCUGGUUGCUGCAAGCACUUCACUACGGUCAGGGCAUAGGAAAGGAGCUCUAACUUGAAAGCCAUGAUUGGGCUGUGGAGGUUUUGAGAACCUCAUGAAUUUUUAUGCAAAAUUCCAUGUACCUCUGUAUUCUCCAAUGCAGUGGUUCAUGGCAUCAUUUGUGGGUUCCAAAAAGGACUUAUGGCUCCUCAGAACAAAAUAAACACUGAUUUGAUAUUCAAAGGGGGAGCAGAAAGAGAGGGCGCCAGCGAUGUUACCAGGUGCUAGGCCAUGCAGGGCCUCAUAAGCCAUAGUAAGUGGCUUGACCUCCUUUAUUCUGAAGGGAGUGGGCAUCAAGGGACUGGAGAUGAGACGUGUGAGAAAAACUGGCUGAGAACAGAGGAAGAGCUUCCCCAUUUGCAUUCCCUUGAGGUCUGGAGUUGUGGAAGAAAGCCAAGGAGGUCCCUAUUUACCAACCCAGAUUCCUAGGCAUUACCAGGAGAGGCCAGCAGAGGGCGCUGUAGCCCAGCAUAUGGACAUGAAGGGAAGGGGACUUUCCAGACUAAAGGCCCUGCCACCUCCUCUCUGGCGCAUUCUAGGGUCCCUUUUAGCCACCAACCUUGGUUCCUUCUCACGUUCUGAUGCCCUACCCGAGAUUCUGAGACUAGUCAGUUUCCCUCCCUUGUUUUUGUUGCCCAUCUCCCCUUCACAAGGCUCUGAGCUCCCACCAGGGAAGAUUGGGGCUGAAUUGGCUUCUCCUGUGGCCCAGCAUUGUCUCUCACAAGGAGCCAGGAACACAGCAUGUAUGAGGGAACGAAGACAUAAGGUUGCUAAGGAAGGGGAAGAUGGGCCAUGGGGAUGCAAUCUGGAGUCUUUUACCCUGGCUCACUCCUCCAGGAAGCCCUCCCUGCACACCACCCCAGGCUCUCACAGCUGACCACUUGGUGCUGGCAGGUCUUUGUUCUCUCUGGAGUGGGAGCUCUGUGAGAACGGGGUCCAGGACUGCCGUGGCCAUACUAUGUCCCCAGCACUGUCCAGGACAGCUGAAGAACACAGCAGGUGGCUCACACACACUGGCUGAAACAUGAAGCUCCUGGAAUCCCCAUGAGCCCCAAACACAGAACAGGCAGGAACUGUCCUCCGUGCUGCACACAGGCCAGGCCUGAGGCAGGUGGUCUGUGGAUGCCCAGUGAUGAUGCCAAACAAACCAGCCCUGGUCUCUGCCCCAUCAGUCCCACCCAUCCCUCCACCUAGAGGCCUGUUCCAUGUCCUUUACUCAAAAACUCCUGGAGGGAUUUUAGACUGUGAGAGGUAGAGAACAAGAGAAGCACUUUAAAAAUGAACUAGUGGAUUUUAAACCAGGGACCCUUGUUUAAGCGUGCAUUUUUAGCACCAAAAUCGGGGCCAGGCACAUGAAUCCCUCAGUUAAGUUGUUUAAUGAAUGAGUAAAUAAUUUCCCUUUAAAGAGGCCCCCACCCCAAUUAACGGCCAACUGCAGUAACACUUCAGGGUUUCAACCCUGCUUCCUUCCUGCUAGGAGGUGCCAUGUCAUUUAUUCAAAGAAAACAAAACGAAACCAAACAAAACAGGGCAAACACAUUUCUUAAUAAGUGCAGUUUGUUAAAAUCAUGUUAAAACAUAUGAGUCAAGGGGAAGUAAAAAUAAA